GUCGAGAAUCUUCCCCAAUGGGCGAAAGCCUGAGGGAGCGACGCCGCGUGAGGGAUGAAGGCCCUUUGGGUUGUAAACCUCUGUUAGGGGGAAAGAAAAGCAGUGGAAGCAAUAUGUCCAUUGCCUGACGUUACCCCCAGAGAAAGCUCCGGCCAACUCCGUGCCAGCAGCCGCGGUAAUACGGGGGGAGCAAGCGUUGUCCGUAAUCAUUGGGCGUAAAGGGCGUGUAGGCGGCUUGGCAAGUCGAAUGUGAAAUCCCACGGCUCAACCGUGGAACUGCGUUCGAAACUGCAUUGCUUGAGUGCGGGAGAGGUGUGCGGAAUUCCUGGUGUAGCGGUGGAAUGCGUAGAUAUCAGGAAGAACACCGGUGGCGAAGGCGGCACACUGGCCCAGCACUGACGCUGAGGCGCGAAAGCGUGGGGAGCGAACGGGAUUAGAUACCCCGGUAGUCC
rnacentral:rRNA from 1 species